rnacentral:rRNA from 1 species
AUUGAACGCUGGCGGCAGGCCUAACACAUGCAAGUCGAACGCGUGGCGGACGGGUGAGUCACGUCUGGGAAACUGCUUGAUGGCGGGGGAUACCUACUGGAAACGGUAGCUAAUACCGCAUAGCAUCAGAUGUGACCAGAUGGGAUUAGCUUGUAGGUGGGGUAGCGGCUCACCAAUGCGACGAUCCCUAGCUGGUCUGCGAGGAUGACCAGCCAAACUGGAACUGAGAACCGGGCCAGACUCCUACGGGGGGCAGCAGUGGGGAAUAUUGCACAAUGGGCGCAAGCCCGAUGCAGCCAUGGCGCGUGUAGGAAGAAGGCCUUCGGGUUGUAAAGUACUUUCAGCGGGGAGGCGUUACCCGCAGAAGAAGCACCGGCUAACUCCGUGCCAGCAGCCGCGGUAAUAC